rnacentral:rRNA from 1 species
GGCAAAUGCAAAGUUAAUUGGGCAAAGGUGUGUACCCCGAUCGAGCAUGGCGGUCUUGGCAUCCUUGACCUGCAGAAGUAUGGCCGAGUGCUACGGCUUCGGUGGCUCUGGUACACAUGGAAAAACCCUGAUCGAGCCUGGCUGGGCAUGGACUCACCCUGUGAUGUCACGGACAGGGCCAUGCUCACAGCUGCAACUUCUAUCUCAUUAGGUAAUGGAGAAAAGGCAGGGUUCUGGACCUGCUCAUGGGCCAAUGGGCAGCCUCUUAGGGAUGUUUUCCCCAGGCUUUUCAAGCACUCAAGGCGGAAAUCGAGAUCGGUUAGAGCCGCUCUGGUCGACGACUCCUGGAUCAGAGACUUGGCGCACAGGGACACCGCCCCUCUGCUGCAAGACGUGCUGUCCAUGGCGAGGAUGAUUGCCAGUGUCCGCCUGAUGCUAAACCCCCAGGUCGAUGAUACCAUUAGAUGGAACUGGACGACCGAUGGCAGCUACUCUGCUGCCUCGGCCUACUAG